CCUACGGGAGGCAGCAGUAGGGAAUCUUUCACAAUGGGCGAAAGCCUGAUGGAGCAACGCCGCGUGCAGGAUGAAGGCCUUCGGGUUGUAAACUGCUUUUAUAAGCGAGAAAUAUGAUGGUAACUUAUGAAUAAGGAUCGGCUAACUACGUGCCAGCAGCCGCGGUCAUACGUAGGAUCCGAGCAUUAUCCGGAGUAACUGGGUGUAAAGAGUUGCGUAGGUGGCAUAAUAAGUAGCUAGUGAAAUCUGGUGGCUCAACCAUUCAGACUAUUAGCUAAACUGUUAAGCUCGAGACCGUUAGGGGUAACUGGAAUUUCUAGUGUAGGAGUGAAAUCCGUAGAUAUUAGAAGGAACACCAAUAGCGUAGGCAGGUUGCUGGGACGGUUCUGACACUAAGGCACGAAAGCGUAGGGAGCAAACGGGAUUAGAUACCCGAGUAGUC
rnacentral:rRNA from 1 species